UCAUUCAGCAUUCAACAUUCAGUAUCUUCACAACAAUCCGACUCGUUGACUAAUUGCUAAUUUUCGCUAAUAUUUAAAGAAUGAAUUUAUUUCAAUACCUUACUGGGCUGUUUACCCUUCUUUUAGCAGAGUUUGCAAGUGCAAGAAGGAUUGCUCCAUGUGCCAUUCACUGUGAUAGUGAUUCAUAUACAGACUUGGAGAACUGUCGAUGCGUUCCAGUGAACUUGGCGUAAGCAGCACUGAUUCGAUUAAUUUUUUAACCUCAUUUUCAGAUUAUGAAUUUGUAAUUUAUAAUAAAGUUUUGAUCGACACAAAAA